rnacentral:rRNA from 1 species
UACGUAGGUGGCAAGCGUUGUCCGGAAUUAUUGGGCGUAAAGCGCGCGCAGGCGGUCCUUUAAGUCUGAUGUGAAAGCCCACGGCUCAACCGUGGAGGGUCAUUGGAAACUGGGGGACUUGAGUGCAGAAGAGGAAAGCGGAAUUCCACGUGUAGCGGUGAAAUGCGUAGAGAUGUGGAGGAACACCAGUGGCGAAAGCGACUUCCUGGGACGUUUCUGACGCUGAGGUUCGAAAGCUCGGGGAGCAAACUAGGAUUAGA